UGGAGAAGUGGCCGAGUGGCCGAAGGCACUCCCCUGCUAAGGGAGCAUACCUCAAAAGGGUAUCGGGGGUUCGACUCCCCCCUUCUCCGCCAU
rnacentral:tRNA from 1 species